rnacentral:rRNA from 1 species
UGGGGAAUAUUGGACAAUGGGCGAAAGCCUGAUCCAGCAAUGCCGCGUGAGUGAUGAAGGCCUUAGGGUUGUAAAGCUCUUUUACCCGGGAUGAUAAUGACAGUACCGGGAGAAUAAGCUCCGGCUAACUCCGUGCCAGCAGCCGCGGUAAUACGGAGGGAGCUAGCGUUAUUCGGAAUUAUUGGGCGUAAAGAGCUCGUAGGUGGUUCGUCACGUCGGAUGUGAAAAUCUGGGGCUCAACCCCAGACCUGCAUUCGAUACGGGCGAGCUAGAGUGUGGUAGGGGAGACUGGAAUUCCUGGUGUAGCGGUGGAAUGCGCAGAUAUGCGGAGGAACACCGAUGGCGAAGGCAAUCCCCUGGGCCUGUACUGACGCUCAUGCACGAAAGCGUGGGGAGCAAACAGG